GGGGUUGUAGUUCAGCUUGGUAGAAUGCACGCUUGGGGUGCGUGUGGUCGAGGGUUCAAAUCCCUUCAACCCCA
rnacentral:tRNA from 1 species